CACGCUGUAAACGAUGAAUGCUAGGUGUAGGUGGGGAUACUCAUCUGUGCCGGAGUUAACACAAUAAGCAUUCCACCUGGGGAGUACGGCCGCAAGGUUGAAACUCAAAGGAAUUGACGGGAGCCCGCACAAGCAGUGGAGUAUGUGGUUUAAUUCGACGCAACGCGAAGAACCUUACCGGAACUUGACAUCCUGCCAAGGCGAAUGUAAUGUUUGCCGUGCCCUUCGGGGAGAGCAGAGACAGGUGG
rnacentral:rRNA from 1 species